CCUACGGGGGGCUGCAGUGGGGAAUAUUGCACAAUGGGGGAAACUCUGAUGCAGCGACGCCGCGUGAGUGAAGAAGUAAUUCGGUAUGUAAAGCUCUAUCAGCAGGGAAGAAAAUGACGGUACCUGAGUAAGAAGCCCCGGCUAACUACGUGCCAGCAGCCGCGGUAAUACGUAGGGGGCAAGCGUUAUCCGGAUUUACUGGGUGGAAAGGGAGCGUAGACGGCAGUGCAAGUCUGGAGUGAAAGGCGGGGGCACAACCCCCGGACUGCUCUGGAAACUGUACGGCUGGAGUGCAGGAGAGGUAAGUGGAAUUCCUAGUGUAGCGGUGAAAUGCGUAGAUAUUAGGAGGAACACCAGUGGCGAAGGCGGCUUACUGGACUGUAACUGACGUUGAGGCUCGAAAGCGUGGGGAGCAAACAGGAUUAGAUACCCUAGUAGUC
rnacentral:rRNA from 1 species